GCGAGACAGUUUUCUAGGCAGGGGAGUGGCAUGUGUACUGGAAUAUUGCAAUUACUGGCUUGGGUAGGGGGCAGUGCUGCGGAGACACACUCCUGUGGAUUAAGGAAAAAGGAAGGCAGAGGACAGAAAGAAAGUAAGGAAUGAAGGGCCUUGUCGGUUAAAGUAAGAAGUCUGAGCUUUAUCCUGAAAGCUAUGGGCAGCCAUGGUCAUUGGAAAAUUUGGAUCUUCCUGGGUGCAAGAAUGACCAUAAUGAGGCUCCUGGGACCAACCAUAGGUUAAAGAAAAACCAUCUGGUGCUGAGAAUCCAAAGGCAGCGGGAAAUCCUCAACAGGAACUGGAGAGGUUGGAGAAAUAAUAGAGCAGAAGCCACCUGGAAGCAGGGGCCCAAACAACAGGGCAGGUUGUUAGCUGCAUUGCACAUAGAAGGGUAGAAGAGGAAGAAUGAUUUUACUUCUUGACAAAGAAGAAGAAGGAAAGACGUCUGCAGGGUAAGCAUGUCUGGGAGUCCCUGCCACCUGCUGCCAUUCAUUUAAUCAUCCCUGGGAGCCGGACUGCAGGCCCUGUGCCAGGCUGUCAGCAGCAGAAACUGGCAAGGAGAGAGCUCACUCAGCAGCUAUUAGAUACCAGGGCCUGCCCACCAGUUACAGUGUGAACUGGGGACUGGAGGAACAGGAAGCAAUGGCUGAUCUCAGCAGUCAGCAGGAGGAAAAGUAAGGCAGAACUGAAAUGUAUGAUGUGUUUACUUUGUUAUCAGCACUGUGUCAUGCUAAGUACCUUUGAAAUGUCUCUUCUUCUCAUUCCUCGAAAUAGUCCUACUAAGUAGGUAUUACUUUCUUCAUUAUUGCCAAAGAAGAAACUAAGACCAAAAGAGUUUAAGUAAAUUGUUCAGUAGAUCUUGGACAUUAAACCAAUUUUGUCUGACUCAAAAUUCCACAUUAACUAUGAUUUUCCAGACUCAAUUCACUGGUGUUCCCUUUCAUAUUUCACCAUGUCUGCACAGCGCUUCUACUUUUAUUUAACCAUUUUUCUGCAAGUCAACACCCCUCCUUCUUAAAUUUUACUUUUGUAAAUGCAUUUUAAAAGGAAGAUGUAUAAUGCUACCAUAAAUGGAAAAGCAAUUUCACUUGCCAUAAGUAGAUGGUAAUAACAAAAAUAAAUAAAUGAAAACAAA
rnacentral:lncRNA from 1 species